rnacentral:rRNA from 1 species
GAUGAACGCUGGCGGCGUGCCUAAUACAUGCAAGUCGAGCGAAAGGACGAGAAGCUUUCUUCUCUACUGUUAGCGGCUGACGGGUGAGUAACACGUGCAUCACCUACCUCUAUUUCUUGGAUAACUACGGAAAACCGCUUCCAAUACUACCUCAUAUUUUGUACCGCUUAGUUCAAAAGUUCUACGCGCCUUUCCUGUUUCUAUUAGACGAUUCCGCGCUGCAUUAGCUAGUUGGUAAGGUAACGGCGUACCAAGGCAACGAUGCAUAGCCGACCUGAGAGGGUGAUCAGCCACACUGGAACUGAGACACGGUCCAGACUCCUACGGGAGGCAGCAGUAGGGAAUCUUCCGCAAAGGGCGAAAGCCUGACGGAGCAACGCCGCGUGAGUGAUGAAGGUCUUCGGAUCGUAAAACUCUGUUAUUAGGGAAGAACAGAAGUGUAAGUAACUGUGGACAUCUUGACGGUACCUAAUGAGAAAGCAACGGCUAACUACGUG